AGAGUUUGAUCCUGGCUCAGGAUGAACGCUGGCGGCGUGCCUAAUACAUGCAAGUCGAGCGAAUGGAUUAAGAGCUUGCUCUUAUGAAGUUAGCGGCGGACGGGUGAGUAACACGUGGGUAACCUGCCCAUAAGACUGGGAUAACUCCGGGAAACCGGGGCUAAUACCGGAUAACAUUUUGAACUGCAUGGUUCGAAAUUGAAAGGCGGCUUCGGCUGUCACUUAUGGAUGGACCCGCGUCGCAUUAGCUAGUUGGUGAGGUAAUGGCUCACCAAGGCAACGAUGCGUAGCCGACCUGAGAGGGUGAUCGGCCACACUGGGACUGAGACACGGCCCAGACUCCUACGGGAGGCAGCAGUAGGGAAUCUUCCGCAAUGGACGAAAGUCUGACGGAGCAACGCCGCGUGAGUGAUGAAGGCUUUCGGGUCGUAAAACUCUGUUGUUAGGGAAGAACAAGUGCUAGUUGAAUAAGCUGGCACCUUGACGGUACCUAACCAGAAAGCCACGGCUAACUACGUGCCAGCAGCCGCGGUAAUACGUAGGUGGCAAGCGUUAUCCGGAAUUAUUGGGCGUAAAGCGCGCGCAGGUGGUUUCUUAAGUCUGAUGUGAAAGCCCACGGCUCAACCGUGGAGGGUCAUUGGAAACUGGGAGACUUGAGUGCAGAAGAGGAAAGUGGAAUUCCAUGUGUAGCGGUGAAAUGCGUAGAGAUAUGGAGGAACACCAGUGGCGAAGGCGACUUUCUGGUCUGUAACUGACACUGAGGCGCGAAAGCGUGGGGAGCAAACAGGAUUAGAUACCCU
rnacentral:rRNA from 1 species